AGAAGAGGCUCAUCAGUGAGAGGUGGAGUGGAAAGCCAUAAAGCCUGAUAUAUAGAAGCUAAAUGGCACAGCUGUGACUGAAUACCUAGGAAAGAGGUCUAUCAGAUCUCUUGAAUAUGCAGGAUGCCCUCGAGGCUUGCUCUUCUGAGAUGCUCCUCUGCUCAUUAGACCCUGAGCCCAAUCUACCUUUAAACUGUGCCCUGUCUCAAUCUGGUCUAAUGGUGUUUCAUACUAGAUCAAGAAAUCUGCAAGCUAAAGUAAAAACUGGUUCAGAAGAUGAGCCAUGCCUUGGAUAUGCAGUGAUUGUAGACAGAGCCCCCUUUGUGGAACCAUUUGCAUCCGCGUAUGGAAUAUGGAGCUAUGUAAGUACAGAAUGUGAUUUCUUCCUCCAUUGGUUUU